rnacentral:rRNA from 1 species
ACAAGCAGCGGAGCGUGUGGUUAAUUCGAUGCUACACGAAGAACUUACCAGGGUUUGACAUGCAAGUGGUAGGAAACCGAAAGGCGACGACCCUUCGGGGAGCUUGCACAGGUGCUGCAUGGCUGUCGUCAGCUCGUGUCGUGAGAUGUUCGGUUAAGUCCGCUAACGAGCGCAACCCUCGCUGUGUGUUACAAGUGUCACACGGUACUGCCGGUCUUAAGCCGGAGGAAGGUGGGGAUGACGUCGAGUCAGCAUGACCUUUAUAUCCAGGGCUACACACACGCUACAAUGGUCUGUACAAUGGGUAGCCAAGCCGCGAGGCGGAGCCAAUCCUGAAAGCAGGCCUCAGUUCAGAUUGCAGUCUGCAACUCGACUGCAUGAAGCCGGAGUUGCUAGUAACCGCAGGUCAGCAAUACUGCGGUGAAUACGUUCCCGGGUCUU